rnacentral:rRNA from 1 species
CACCUGUACCCAUACCGAACACAGAAGUUAAGCUCUUUAGCGUCGAAUGUAGUUGGGUUUACGCCCUGCGAGACUAGAACGUUGCCAGGC